rnacentral:rRNA from 1 species
AGUCGAGCGGAUGAUGGGAGCUUGCUCCCUGAUUCAGCGGCGGACGGGUGAGUAAUGCCUAGGAAUCUGCCUGGUAGUGGGGGACAACGUUUCGAAAGGAACGCUAAUACCGCAUACGUCCUACGGGAGAAAGCAGGGGACCUUCGGGCCUUGCGCUAUCAGAUGAGCCUAGGUCGGAUUAGCUAGUUGGUGAGGUAAUGGCUCACCAAGGCUGCGAUCCGUAACUGGUCUGAGAGGAUGAUCAGUCACACUGGAACUGAGACACGGUCCAGACUCCUACGGGAGGCAGCAGUGGGGAAUAUUGGACAAUGGGCGAAAGCCUGAUCCAGCCAUGCCGCGUGUGUGAAGAAGGUCUUCGGAUUGUAAAGCACUUUAAGUUGGGAGGAAGGGCAGUAAGUUAAUACCUUGCUGUUUUGACGUUACCGACAGAAUAAGCACCGGCUAACUUCGUGCCAGCAGCCGCGGUAAUACGAAGGGUGCAAGCGUUAAUCGGAAUUACUGGGCGUAAAGCGCGCGUAGGUGGUUUGUUAAGUUGGAAGUGAAAGCCCCGGGCUCAACCUGGGAACUGCUUUCAAAACUGGCAAGCUAGAGUAUGGCAGAGGGUGGUGGAAUUUCCUGUGUAGCGGUGAAAUGCGUAGAUAUAGGAAGGAACACCAGUGGCGAAGGCGACCACCUGGGCUAAUACUGACACUGAGGUGCGAAAGCGUGGGGAGCAAACAG